AUGCCUUCGCCGGUCGGGUGUUUGAUGGCGGACGCGUCCACGGACGAGGUGUACGCGCAGCUCUCGCUGCUCCCCGAGAACGAGGAGGUGGUCCGACGGAUGCGCGAGUCCACUGAGGACAGGAGCGGCGACGAGGAUGGCGAGACCGUCAAGCAGCGCUUCGCGAGGAUGUUGCACAUGUUCUGCAAGACGCUCACCGCCUCUGACACCAGCACCCACGGCGGCUUCUCCGUGCCACGCUGCGCCACCAAAGACUGCUUCCCCCUCUGGAUUACAGCCAGCAGCGGCCGUCUCAGGAGCUGGUCGCCAAGGAUUUGCACGGCACCGAGUGGAAGUUCCGCCACAUCUAUCGAGGCCAGCCGUGCAGGCACCUUCUAA
rnacentral:rRNA from 1 species